rnacentral:rRNA from 1 species
AAAGGUAACGGAGGCGCUCAAAGGUUCCCUCAGAAUGGUUGGAAAUCAUUCAUAGAGUGUAAAGGCAUAAGGGAGCUUGACUGCGAGACCUACAAGUCGAGCAGGGUCGAAAGACGGACUUAGUGAUCCGGUGGUUCCGCAUGGAAGGGCCAUCGCUCAACGGAUAAAAGCUACCCCGGGGAUAACAGGCUUAUCUCCCCCAAGAGUUCACAUCGACGGGGAGGUUUGGCACCUCGAUGUCGGCUCAUCGCAUCCUGGGGCUGUAGUCGGUCCCAAGGGUUGGGCUGUUCGCCCAUUAAAGCGGUACGCGAGCUGGGUUCAGAACGUCGUGAGACAGUUCGGUCCCUAUCCGUCGUGGGCGUAGGAAAUUUGAGAGGAGCUGUCCUUAGUACGAGAGGACCGGGAUGGACAUACCUCUGGUGUACCAGUUGUCGUGCCAACGGCAUAGCUGGGUAGCUAUGUGUGGACGGGAUAAGUGCUG